rnacentral:lncRNA from 1 species
AGCCUUGCAUGCCGGAGCCUGGAACAUGUGAGGAGCUAUUUUGGUCAGAAUCCUGGGACAUGGGGAACAGAAGCUGACACAGGAUAUGUUAAGCAAACAAACAAAUGUAUUAGAAGAAUCUAGAAUAGCUCAUAGUAAAGAAGAAAAAGUUGAAGAAUCUAAGUUCUUAAAAGAAAAAAACAAUCGAAGAUAGGCUAGGAAUUUAGCUUGGAGGAAUCGUGCAGAUUCCUCUGUUCCGAGGCAACUAGGGUGAAAUUAUUGGAUCCAUUUUGCUUCUGUGUCACUGCUCUGGACACUGGGAUUCCAGGUCAAGACUAUCUGACAGGUCAAGCUUCAGCCAGCAGCUUCAUUAGCAGGAAGAGAUUCGGUGCUGUACUGGGGAGCUAGCUACACAGAAGUAGUCCUAAGCGUGGUCAACUCAACAUCUCCAGCUCAGCCUCUUCCAGUUCGCUAUCUUCCAAAUUCUGAAUCCGCUUGCUGGACAUCUCCUCACCAGGCUAGUAUAUGCGCUCGCGCUCUCUCUUUCUCCUCAGAAGCAAGCAGGGAUGUGUGUGUGUGUGUGUGUACAGCUUAAAAUGUUGGAGAAGGGAAGACAAGUAAAGGGGGUGACGUUGGCUACAAGCAUGGUGGAUACCAUGGGUCCCUGAGGAAAUAAACUGUUUGCGGUUUUCCCCCAGAGUUGAAGUUUUGACUUAAUUUGAGCGAACCUGACAUCGGUUUCUACAGCAGUACAUUGGAUUUGGCUUGUGCUGUUGUGACACAAAGGGAAAGGCACACACACAAUGUCAGCAAUGUUCUCUCUCCUUCCGUUUUCUAGAACUGACUUCGAUGGGUGUUUUUAAUUCAUCAUAGGGCUUAUAACAAAUGUAGCACAUUCUUUUAUUGAUUGAUUCUUUUAUUGAUUCUUUUAUUGAACCAAAACACCGAGCGGGUGCUGAAGGAAUAGAAAAAGGCCGCUGGAUCAGCCUUUUGAAAAGAGGCAGCAGCUCAACUCUGGGAUUCAAGAUUGGCUGUGUCCCCUGGUUUCCAUAUAGGUGACCCCUUAGAUGAUAAAUCAUCAGGCCAUAAUGCAAGAUUCUGCCCAAUUGUAACCCAGAUGGAACAAAACAACCCUACUGGGAAAGAGACCGCUACAAUUAAAUAUUAUGUUUGCCCGGAAUGAUGGCUUAAAGCCUGUGACACCAACACCGAGGAGUCUGAGGCAGGGGGAUCAAAUAGUCAGCCUGGACUAGGCAGUGGCUCCCAGGCUAGCCUAGGAUAUACAGUGGAGACCUAUUUAAAGAAAACAAACUAGAUUCAGUGAGGUAAUACAACAAGUCAAAGAGGCACUUGCCACCAGGUAAUGACCCGAUUUCCACCCCUGGGACACGCAGGCUAGCAGGAGAGAACCGCCUCCUGCUCCAAGUUGAUCUUUGGCCUCCACAAUCGCACUUGCACACACGUGUGUGUAUGUGUCCGUGUGUGCGCAUCAGGUGGAGAGCAUUUAAAAUAACAAGAUGCUGAAGCAUGUUUUCUUUUGAGUACUAGCCAAGUCUUUAGGCAAUGUAUGGACUAACUUUUUUUUCCUUAAUGAUUUUGUUAUAGCAUUUAAUUUAAAAAAAAACAAAAAACAACUUUGUUCUAUGUAGUGCAUAAAAAGCUAAUAAUUGACUUUAAAUCAUGUCGGAGCAGCUCCUCCUGCUCGCUGGAAUCCUUUCUUCUUUCCUGUUUCAGAUGCUUCCUCUAGCAGAUGAUCUUCCCUUAUGUUUCCAUGACUCCAGCCGUGAGGCAUUGAUGCAGGAUGGAGCUGACUUUCACUGGAUACCCAUCACAUGCCCAGCAUCUUAACAAGUGUCUUUGCUUAUGUUAUUUCAUUCACACUUGUAGGACUCCCCGUGGAUGUCAUCUGAAAUCCAGGGAGGUUUUUAAAAGUGCCCGGGAUCACAAAGCUAGUAAUUGCAUACUUGACAGAAAUGCCUCGGAGUCAACUCCUGCUGUGCCACCGGCUUUAGGCAUUUUCAAUUUAAGGAAGCAACCAUUAGGAUAUUUUCAAUGAUGAGAAGAACGCCAUUAAGCUGCCACAAAUGUCAAAAGUUCCUGGCUCUGUUGACACUUAUGUAAUUGUUCUGGAAACCCCCACGCAGCGGAAUAGACCUACAAUACCAGGAUAUGAAGUAAGUGUGUGGGUAUUUCUCAUGUGUUGACGUGCCAGCUCCCUGACCUUCUAGGGGACUGGCAGAUGCUUCUAGAAAAGCUGGACUGGGCUUUCAGGGGAAAGUCUAGGUUAAGCAGAAAAUCCCACUUUGUUCCACCGGGAGCUUGUGGUGGUCUGUAUGUGGAAAGAACAGGAAGACAAAAGUUCUGCAUGCUGGCGCACAAGUACUGACCAGAAAGCACACUAGAGUUAGCUCCCCAAUGUACGCACGCAGGCAACCGGAGUCAUUUUGUUUGAAUAGCUGGACUAAAUUUCGAGAGCUCACAGCAGCGGAGAGUUGGAAAGAUCCUGUCUCAGAAGGCUUCAUUUUGCCCUUUCUUUCUUUCAUUUAAAUUCCCAGAUGCCAUUCACAUAUACGCUAGAGAAAAGGCC